rnacentral:rRNA from 1 species
ACGGGUGAGUAAUGUAUCGGAACGUACCGAGUAAUGGGGGAUAACUAAUCGAAAGAUUAGCUAAUACCGCAUAUUCUCUGAGGAGGAAAGCAGGGGACCUUCGGGCCUUGCGUUAUUCGAGCGGCCGAUAUCUGAUUAGCUAGUUGGUGGGGUAAAGGCUUACCAAGGCGACGAUCCGUAGCGGGUCUGAGAGGAUGAUCCGCCACACUGGGACUGAGACACGGCCCAGACUCCUACGGGAGGCAGCAGUGGGGAAUUUUGGACAAUGGGGGGAACCCUGAUCCAGCCAUGCCGCGUGUAUGAAGAAGGCCUUAGGGCUGUAAAGUACUUUUGUUAGGGAAGAAAAGGCGUUUGCUAAUAUCAGAUGCUGAUGACGGUACCUAAAGAAUAAGCACCGGCUAACUACGUGCCAGCAGCCGCGGUAAUACGUAGGGUGCAAGCGUUAAUCGGAAUUACUGGGCGUAAAGCGAGCGCAGACGGUUACUUAAGCAAGAUGUGAAAUCCCCGAGCUCAACUUGGGAACUGCGUUUUGAACUGGGUAGCUAGAGUGUGUCAGAGGGGGGUAGAAUUCCACGUGUAGCAGUGAAAUGCGUAGAGAUGUGGAGGAAUACCGAUGGCGAAGGCAGCCCCCUGGGAUAGCACUGACGUUCAUGCUCGAAAGCGUGGGUAGCAAACAGGAUUAGAUACCCU